rnacentral:rRNA from 1 species
CAAUAGCGUAUAUUAAAGUUGUUGCAGUUAAAAAGCUCGUAGUUGGAUUUGUGGUGUGUCCAGUCGGCCUUUGCUCUCUGAGUGAUUGUGCUGUACUGGUCUGCCAUGUUUGGGUGGAAUCUGUGUGGCAUUAAGUUGUCGUGCAGGGGAUGCCCAUCGUUUACUGUGAAAAAAUUAGAGUGUUCAAAGCAGGCUUAUGCCGUUGAAUAUAUUAGCAUGGAAUAAUGAUAUAGGACCUUGGUACUAUUUUGUUGGUUUGCGCACUAAGGUAAUGAUUAAGAGGGACAGUUGGGGGUAUUUGUAUUCCAUUGUCAGAGGUGAAAUUCUUAGAUUUUUGGAAGACAAACUACUGCGAAAGCAUUUACCAAGGAUGUUUNCAUUAA